AGGAUGAAGAGUGGCCUCACAUGUCAGGGAUCAAACGAUGUGUUUUAUCUGUCAUGGGCUUGUGGAUGGAUUUCACUGAAACUAAUUUGGACUGCAUGCAAAAUGAACUUUUAUCACGAUGAAAAUGCAGGCGGAGGUGUUUUUCAGAAUCAAAAAGAUUUAUUGGUCAAGUGUGCUUAUGGUAAGUGACGUUUCAAGUGUUUACAGCAAUACUACAGUAGAAGAACUGCAAGAAUAACAUACAGUGUACAGUACAGUAUGUAUACUACAUAUAGAUCAAAUGACAGCAUGCUUCAUAUAACGUGAUCACAUGUGCAUUAUUUAAAAGUCACGUCACUUUUUCUACAUAGGAUCUAGCGACAUUGUUAUCCAAGCAGCCAAUCUAUUUCAUAACGUUUAUGCAUCACUGUUUGGCUCAAUACCAUCUUAGUCUUACAUUUAUCUUAAAAUGAGAUGAACAAAUGGUCUUUAUGAAAUAAUUUGCAUGCAUGUUUGACAUCUGUAAAUGUCACAAUUAUAAUAAAAAUGAUUGAUAGUGAUGAGACACGAUCAGAUGAGUUUAAGUGGCCUUAUAUGUCCUGAAGGAGCGCAGAAACAAAUCAUUAAAAGGAUUUAUGAAUGUAAAAGCUCUUUUUUGGAUUGUAAAGAUUAGAUGAGCUCUGCGCUCUUCUUCGUAUGUCUUUAGCUGAGAGGGAGGUCAGACCAGACAGUGGCAGCAGAGGAUAGUCACACUUCAUUAAAGAUAAGAGCGUUUAAGAAGGACACUUAACUCACUGUGACCUUCCUGCUGGGUCGUGACCUAAUCACACUCUGGAGUGUCCAGACCCUGAAUGAGCAGACGGGUUCAAGGGGUCACGCCUCUGGUUGCGGGAUGCAAGGGGAUACGACCGUGGCUUGUUUGAUCGUCUGAUGAUGCACGACAGAUUUUCAGUGAGAUCACACAAAGACAGUUUUGUAGAGAACUAAAGUUGUGCUCUUCAAAAACAGGCAUAAAUCUAGUAAAUGGCUGCUGGAGUGAUAUAGGUCUACAUCUAAAGUGUCUUUUAAUGUUUAAAUGCAUCAACUACUAUGACAUGGGCAUCUAUCAGUGUACUUUUUAAUGAAUAUAUUACAAUGUGUUUAUUUCUAGUGUAUCCCACAAGAAGCAUAUGGGUGAUUCUCACGAAACCAUUGAAACACCACGGCACUAAUGAUUUUAGCUUUAAAAUGUGUAAUAUAGUAACAUUAAAAAUCAUCAGAAUUAACACAAUACUGUGUUCUAGCUUGCACAAUGUGUGAUUUCAACAUAAGAAUUUAUAAUUGUAAAUUUGAUCUCAUUUUCUGCUGAAAUUCUCAUUACCGCAAUGUGUCCGGCUGUGUUUGAACAUGCGUUAUGUUGUAAUUUAAUCAAAUUAACACAAAAAUAUUAAGAAAAAAAUAAAUGGA